CGGCCAAUCCUCCCCAGGGCAUCACCCAGCCCCACAGCCCCCAGUUCCCCCAGGAGUCCUGGGAUCCCUACAUGCAGCACCCACAGACAUCCCAUGGGAUGUGGGCAGGAUAACGGGACACCCCCUCCCCUGCAGGCCUGUGAGUGCCUGUUUGGGCUGACAGGGAUGGGGGGAACCUGGGGCAAUGGGGUGGAGGCUGCAGUGGGGAGGGGGGGGGGGUGUGUGUGUGGAUGUGAUGCUCCCAGGAUACUGGGGUGCUCCCAUGUAGAUGAGAUGCUCAAGGUGGGUGGGAUGCCCAGAGGAGGACAGGAUGCUUGAGGCCAGGGGAAUGCUACGAUGUGGAUGUGGAUGGGAUGCCUCGAGAAGGACAGGAUGCUUGAGGCCAUUAAGAUGCUCCAAUGUGGAUGAGGAUGGGAUGCUCUGAGGCAGAUGGGAUGCUCCGCGGUAGUGCCACCACCACCAGAAGCAGGGCUGACCUGCUCCCGUCCCCCUCCAUGCAUGUCCAGGCGGUCCCUGUACCCGCUGCCGGGCAGGACGCGGUGUUCCAGCUGUUCCCGAGCUGUCCGUGCCCACCGAAACGCUCCCAGAAUAAACCCGCUGUGAGUGCUG